UACGUAGGGAGCAAGCGUUAUCCGGAAUUAUUGGGUGUAAAGGGUGCGUAGAUGGGAGAACAAGUUAGUUGUGAAAGCCCUCGGCUUAACUGAGGAACUGCAACUAAAACUAUUUUUCUUGAGUGCAGGAGAGGAAAGCGGAAUUCCUAGUGUAGCGGUGAAAUGCGUAGAUAUUAGGAGGAACACCAGUGGCGAAGGCGGCUUUCUGGACUGUAACUGACAUUGAGGCACGAAAGUGUGGGGAGCAAAC
rnacentral:rRNA from 1 species